rnacentral:lncRNA from 1 species
GAAGAAUUGAGCACUGCUUGGGAAGUAGCUUAUGAUGCAUUGGCAACUGCAAUUAAGAAGGCAAUGAGUUAAACUUGAGAUGAUAUAUAAUUAUAUCUCAACUUAAUAAAUAAAAGUUGUAUUACUAAAACUUGUUUAACAAGUUUAUAUAAUAAAAAUUAUUGAAAUGACUAUUAAAUAGUUAUUAUUAUAUUUAUGCUAGUGCAUUUCUUGUUAAAAAAAUCCCCCUCAAUAUUGAAAUAACUAUGAAAUAGUUAUCAUAUUUGUGCUAUGUGCCUUUUCUUUAAUCCACCACCAAGAUUGAGUCUUCAAUUGAUAGAAAUCCCCCAACAUGAACAAAAAAAAAAUGCCCUCAACAUUGAUCCCUUUAUUAUCAAAAGGAUGAUUACACCAUUUAACAAUGUACAAUAAACACCUAAACAUUGCAAAGUUUCCAUCCAAUCUUCAUGACACAAGACACACAAAAAAAAAGAUAAAGUCUUUUCAACUCCACACCCAUUAAUGUAAAGUUGAGAAUCUUGAUGUAAAAUCUCACGUAUGUACAAAUCAUCCUUUGCUAAGAGAUUGAAUAAACACCCUUUCUCCAACCUAUCCACACAUCUUUGCCACAAAAACAAUAGGAUCUAUUGGUAAGUCAAAAAGUACCUCUUUGUAUAGUUUGUAAAAGAAAAAUAGACGAAAUAAAGUAAAAAUAAAGUAAAUGAGAAGAAGAGAGCCUCAAGUGAAU